rnacentral:rRNA from 1 species
GGGCGUCUCUAUCUCAUUGCGAGAGGAGGCGCACCUAGAGCGUACACGCUGAUACCCGAAAGAUGGUGAACUAUGCCUGGCCAGGACGAAGCCAGGGGAAACCCUGGUGGAGGUCCGCAGCGAUUCUGACGUGCAAAUCGAUCGUCGGAGCUGGGUUUAGGGGCGAAAGACCAAUCGAACCAUCUAGUAGCUGGUUCCCUCCGAAGUUUCCCUCAGGAUAGCUUGCGCUCGGGCGAGACGAGUCUCAUCCGGUAGAGCGAAUGAUUAGAGGCCUUGGGGUCGAAACGACCUCAACCUAUUCUCAAACUCCAAAUAGAUGAGAACCCCGGCUUUCUUGAACCUUGUGUGAUUGAAGCCGUGGGAUUCGGAUCAGAGUGCCAAGUGGGCCAAUUUU